UACGUAGGUGGCAAGCGUUAUCCGGAUUUAUUGGGUGUAAAGGGCGUGUAGGCGGGAGCGCAAGUCAGAUGUGAAAACUCAGGGCUCAACCCUGAGCCUGCAUUUGAAACUGUGUUUCUUGAGUGCUGGAGAGGCAAUCGGAAUUCCGUGUGUAGCGGUGAAAUGCGUAGAUAUACGGAGGAACACCAGUGGCGAAGGCGGCCUACUGGGCUUUAACUGACGCUGAGGCACGAAAGCGUGGGUAGCAAACAGG
rnacentral:rRNA from 1 species